UACGGAAGGCAGCAGUGGGGAAUAUUGCACAAUGGGCGCAAGCCUGAUGCAGCCAUGCCGCGUGUAUGAAGAAGGCCUUCGGGUUGUAAAGUACUUUCAGUCGUGAGGAAGGUGUUAAGGUUAAUAACCUUAGCAAUUGACGUUAGCGACAGAAGAAGCACCGGCUAACUCCGUGCCAGCAGCCGCGGUAAUACGGAGGGUGCGAGCGUUAAUCGGAAUUACUGGGCGUAAAGGGCACGCAGGCGGUUAAUUAAGUUGGAUGUGAAAUCCCCGGGCUUAACCUGGGAAUGGCAUUCAAGACUGGUUAGCUAGAGUCUUGUAGAGGGGGUAGAAUUCCAUGUGUAGCGGUGAAAUGCGUAGAGAUGUGGAGGAAUACCGGUGGCGAAGGCGGCCCCUGGGCAAAGGGCUGACGCUCAUGUGCGAAAGCUGGGGAGCAAACAGGAUUAGAUACC
rnacentral:rRNA from 1 species